UUAUAAGAGACAGCAGUCGCCACGGUAAUACGGAGGAUCCAAGCGUUAUCCGGAAUCAUUGGGUUUAAAGGGUCCGUAGGCGGUCUUGUAAGUCAGUGGUGAAAGCCCAUCGCUCAACGGUGGAACGGCCAUUGAUACUGCAGGACUUGAAUUAUUGGGAAGUAACUAGAAUAUGUAGUGUAGCGGUGAAAUGCUUAGAGAUUACAUGGAAUACCAAUUGCGAAGGCAGGUUACUACCAAUUGAUUGACGCUGAUGGACGAAAGCGUGGGUAGCGAACAGGAUUAGAUACCCCUGUAGUCCCUGUCUCUUAUAA
rnacentral:rRNA from 1 species